rnacentral:sRNA from 1 species
UUCAACAUGUGAGGGAAGUACGUACUGA